GGGUUGUGAGGUUAAGCGACUAAGCGUACACGGUGGAUGCCCUGGCAGUCAGAGGCGAUGAAGGACGUGCUAAUCUGCGAUAAGCGUCGGUAAGGUGAUAUGAACCGUUAUAACCGGCGAUUUCCGAAUGGGGAAACCCAGUGUGUUUCGACACACUAUCAUUAACUGAAUCCAUAGGUUAAUGAGGCGAACCGGGGGAACUGAAACAUCUAAGUACCCCGAGGAAAAGAAAUCAACCGAGAUUCCCCCAGUAGCGGCGAGCGAACGGGGAGCAGCCCAGAGCCUGAAUCAGUGUGUGUGUUAGUGGAAGCGUCUGGAAAGGCGCGCGAUACAGGGUGACAGCCCCGUACACAAAAAUGCACAUGCUGUGAGCUCGAUGAGUAGGGCGGGACACGUGGUAUCCUGUCUGAAUAUGGGGGGACCAUCCUCCAAGGCUAAAUACUCCUGACUGACCGAUAGUGAACCAGUACCGUGAGGGAAAGGCGAAAAGAACCCCGGCGAGGGGAGUGAAAAAGAACCUGAAACCGUGUACGUACAAGCAGUGGGAGCACGCUUAGGCGUGUGACUGCGUACCUUUUGUAUAAUGGGUCAGCGACUUAUAUUCUGUAGCAAGGUUAACCGAAUAGGGGAGCCGAAGGGAAACCGAGUCUUAACUGGGCGUUAAGUUGCAGGGUAUAGACCCGAAACCCGGUGAUCUAGCCAUGGGCAGGUUGAAGGUUGGGUAACACUAACUGGAGGACCGAACCGACUAAUGUUGAAAAAUUAGCGGAUGACUUGUGGCUGGGGGUGAAAGGCCAAUCAAACCGGGAGAUAGCUGGUUCUCCCCGAAAGCUAUUUAGGUAGCGCCUCGUGAACUCAUCUCCGGGGGUAGAGCACUGUUUCGGCAAGGGGGUCAUCCCGACUUACCAACCCGAUGCAAACUGCGAAUACCGGAGAAUGUUAUCACGGGAGACACACGGCGGGUGCUAACGUCCGUCGUGAAGAGGGAAACAACCCAGACCGCCAGCUAAGGUCCCAAAGUCAUGGUUAAGUGGGAAACGAUGUGGGAAGGCCCAGACAGCCAGGAUGUUGGCUUAGAAGCAGCCAUCAUUUAAAGAAAGCGUAAUAGCUCACUGGUCGAGUCGGCCUGCGCGGAAGAUGUAACGGGGCUAAACCAUGCACCGAAGCUGCGGCAGCGACACUAUGUGUUGUUGGGUAGGGGAGCGUUCUGUAAGCCUGUGAAGGUGUACUGUGAGGUAUGCUGGAGGUAUCAGAAGUGCGAAUGCUGACAUAAGUAACGAUAAAGCGGGUGAAAAGCCCGCUCGCCGGAAGACCAAGGGUUCCUGUCCAACGUUAAUCGGGGCAGGGUGAGUCGACCCCUAAGGCGAGGCCGAAAGGCGUAGUCGAUGGGAAACAGGUUAAUAUUCCUGUACUUGGUGUUACUGCGAAGGGGGGACGGAGAAGGCUAUGUUGGCCGGGCGACGGUUGUCCCGGUUUAAGCGUGUAGGCUGGUUUUCCAGGCAAAUCCGGAAAAUCAAGGCUGAGGCGUGAUGACGAGGCACUACGGUGCUGAAGCAACAAAUGCCCUGCUUCCAGGAAAAGCCUCUAAGCAUCAGGUAACAUCAAAUCGUACCCCAAACCGACACAGGUGGUCAGGUAGAGAAUACCAAGGCGCUUGAGAGAACUCGGGUGAAGGAACUAGGCAAAAUGGUGCCGUAACUUCGGGAGAAGGCACGCUGAUAUGUAGGUGAAGCGACUUGCUCGUGGAGCUGAAAUCAGUCGAAGAUACCAGCUGGCUGCAACUGUUUAUUAAAAACACAGCACUGUGCAAACACGAAAGUGGACGUAUACGGUGUGACGCCUGCCCGGUGCCGGAAGGUUAAUUGAUGGGGUUAGCGCAAGCGAAGCUCUUGAUCGAAGCCCCGGUAAACGGCGGCCGUAACUAUAACGGUCCUAAGGUAGCGAAAUUCCUUGUCGGGUAAGUUCCGACCUGCACGAAUGGCGUAAUGAUGGCCAGGCUGUCUCCACCCGAGACUCAGUGAAAUUGAACUCGCUGUGAAGAUGCAGUGUACCCGCGGCAAGACGGAAAGACCCCGUGAACCUUUACUAUAGCUUGACACUGAACAUUGAGCCUUGAUGUGUAGGAUAGGUGGGAGGCUUUGAAGUGUGGACGCCAGUCUGCAUGGAGCCGACCUUGAAAUACCACCCUUUAAUGUUUGAUGUUCUAACGUUGACCCGUAAUCCGGGUUGCGGACAGUGUCUGGUGGGUAGUUUGACUGGGGCGGUCUCCUCCUAAAGAGUAACGGAGGAGCACGAAGGUUGGCUAAUCCUGGUCGGACAUCAGGAGGUUAGUGCAAUGGCAUAAGCCAGCUUGACUGCGAGCGUGACGGCGCGAGCAGGUGCGAAAGCAGGUCAUAGUGAUCCGGUGGUUCUGAAUGGAAGGGCCAUCGCUCAACGGAUAAAAGGUACUCCGGGGAUAACAGGCUGAUACCGCCCAAGAGUUCAUAUCGACGGCGGUGUUUGGCACCUCGAUGUCGGCUCAUCACAUCCUGGGGCUGAAGUAGGUCCCAAGGGUAUGGCUGUUCGCCAUUUAAAGUGGUACGCGAGCUGGGUUUAGAACGUCGUGAGACAGUUCGGUCCCUAUCUGCCGUGGGCGCUGGAGAACUGAGGGGGGCUGCUCCUAGUACGAGAGGACCGGAGUGGACGCAUCACUGGUGUUCGGGUUGUCAUGCCAAUGGCACUGCCCGGUAGCUAAAUGCGGAAGAGAUAAGUGCUGAAAGCAUCUAAGCACGAAACUUGCCCCGAGAUGAGUUCUCCCUGACCCUUUAAGGGUCCUGAAGGAACGUUGAAGACGACGACGUUGAUAGGCCGGGUGUGUAAGCGCAGCGAUGCGUUGAGCUAACCGGUACUAAUGAACCGUGAGGCUUAACCUUACAACGCCGAAGCUGUU
rnacentral:rRNA from 1 species